rnacentral:sRNA from 1 species
ACUACCCAACUCUGCCCUUAUAGAGCAAACACAACUACAGACAUUUAAACCAAUGAGUAUGGCUGUGUCCCAAUACACUUCAUUUCCAAAAACAGGCAGUGGGGCCUGAGUUGGCCUGAGAACCACAGUUUGCCAGCUCCUGGUCUAAGAUAUCAUGAAUAUCUUGGGAUACAGAGUAUCAGGAAUGAGUUUUUUCCUGCUGUUUCUUAAUGGUUUAUUGAGUUGUCAGCCCAGUGUCUACUAUAUAGCUAACUCCUCUCUAGUAUGUGAUGAGUAUAGUAGAAGGCCUGCCUUCGUACCAGGACUUCAGAAAAUGUUUGAUGAUGCUGUAGAAAUAUCUGCCCUAGGCUGGGUGCAGUGGCUUACACCUGUAAUCUCAGCACUUUGGGAGGCUAAGGGAGGUGGAUCACCUGAAGGUCAGGAGUUUGAGACCAGUGUGGCCAAUGUGGCAAAACCCCAUCUCUAUUAAAAAUACAAAAAAUUAGCUGGGUGUGGUGGCGGGUACCUGUAAUCCCAGCUACUUGGGAGGCUGAGGCAGGAGAAUUGCUUGAACCUGGGAGGUGGAGGUUGCAGUAAGCCAAGAUUGCGCCAUUGCACUCCAGCCUGGGUGACAGAGCGAGACUCUGUCUCAAAAAAAAAAAAAAAAAGAAAGAAAGAAAAGAAAAAGAAAAGAAAUAUCUGCUCUAUUCCACAGUAGAAGGGUUGACCACUUUGAUCUAAUCUGUUUCCUUUUUCAUAGGAAACCCAGAAGUUCUGUGAACAGGUCCAUGCUGCCAUCAAGGCAUUUAUUGCAGUGUACUAUUUGCUUCCAAAGGAUCAGGGUAAGCCACAUAAGUGUUGCAUUUAUUGUGUAGAUCUUUGCUAAUAUUGUGGAUUAUGUCUUGUGACUUUUACCUUUACCCAACUUGAACAUGUAACUUUCUCCCAUAAAAUACAGUCAAGGAUAAUUUUGUAAUAUAAGUGACUUAUAUAAACAAGCCAUUAUUCUAAGAUACAGAUGCUUUGUUCCUAUGACUUCCCAUCUCCCCUGCCUUGCCUGACUCAUAAGACUUUUAAUUCUCAAAGGUUUCUCCCUCUUUAACCCGUUUUAACACCACAGAUACUAGCUGGCUCUCAGCCCCAUAUGCAGGCUCAGGCCAUCCUUACUUUCCUCCACCCAUAUUAUAUCUCACCCUAUUUCUGAACAUCUUCAUAGGUUAAGUGUCCUCCAGCCCUGCCUGUAGAAUCAUGCAUUGAUUAUAAUCAUGCCAAAAUUAUAACUGAAUACAUGUCAUGGAUCUUCAGGGUUACUCAAGUGGCUUAAACUUCAGGUGUUUCAUCUACAGUUGUUAAGAGAUCACGGUCCUUAAUGAAUGAAUACAUGGUGUCACGGAAAGAUUUUGUUCCAGAUCUCUUUUGAAGAAAACACUAAGGAAUGGCAGGAGGGGCAAGAAAAUGCCAUGGGGAUAUAAGUAAGACCUGAGUUUUGUGUUAGCAUGUAGGUUAAAGCAUGUGGGUGUACGUUACCUUAUAGUUCUGUAAUGCUUAGACUCAGGAAAGCAGAUGGUGCUUCUGAAAAGAACACCAGGCUGCUUAUUCUUUGGGUUUGGCCACAGGAAUCACCCUGAGAAAGCUGGUACGGGGCGCCACCCUGGACAUCGUGGAUGGCAUGGCUCAGCUCAUGGAAGUACUUUCCAUCACUCCAACUCAGAGUCCUGAGAACAAUGAACUUAUUUCCUACAACAGUGUCUGGGUUGCGUGCCAGCAGAUGCCUCACAUACCAAGAGAUAACAAAGCUGCAGCUCUUUUGAUGCUGACCAAGAAUGUGGAUUUUGUGAAGGAUGCACAUGAAGAAAUGGAGCGGGCUGUGGAAGAAUGCGACCCUUACUCUGGCCUCUUGAAUGAUACUGAGGAGAACAACUCUGACAACCACAAUGAUGAGGAUGAUGUGUUGGGAUUUCCAAGCAAUCAGGACUUGUAUUGGUCAGAGGACGAUCAAGAGCUCAUAAUCCCAUGCCUUGCGCUAGUGAGAGCAUCCAAAGCCUGCCUGAAGAAAAUUCGGAUCUUAGUGGCAGAGAAUGGGAAGAAGGAUCAGGUGGCACAGCUGGACGACAUUGUGGAUAUUUCUGAUGAAAUCAGCCCUAGUGUGGAUGAUUUGGCUCUGAGCAUAUAUCCACCUAUGUGUCACCUGACCGUGCGAAUCAAUGUAAGUACUGGCUUUGAGGGAAUAGCUACAGACCUAAUGGGCAGAAUUUCACUAAUCACUAGUAUUUCCUCUAAGGUAUAGGGUACAUAUUUAUUUGUCACAUUUGGAUGGAAAUACAACAGUAAUGUCACAGUUCUUGCAUGCGUCUGGGGUUGAUAAAUAUUCACUGAAGUUGAAUUAUAAUAGCCAUGAGCUUUGGUAGUUCUCUCUUCCAUAAUCACCUGGGUAAUCAUUUAGAAAAGCCCAAAGGCCUUAGAAAAUGAUGCUUUAAGGCUGGGCGCAGUAGCUCACACCUGUAAUCCCAGCACUCCAGGAGGCUGAGACAGGUGGAUCAGCUGAGAUCAGGAGUUGAGACCAGCCUGGCCAACAUGGCUAAACCUUGUCUCUACUAAGAAUACAAAAAUUAGCCAGGCAUCAUGCGCCUAUAAUCCCAGCUACUCGGAAGGCUGAGGCAGGAGAAUCGCUUGAACCUGGGAAGUGGAGGUUGCAGUGAGCCGAGAUCGCACCACUGCACUCCAGCCUGGGCGACAGAGCAAGACUCUGACUCAAAAAAAAAAAAAAAAAA